GAAAAGACUGCCUGUGCCAUCAAUAAG
rnacentral:piRNA from 1 species